GCAAAAAAAAAAAAAAGAAAGAGAGAGAGAGAGAGAGAAAGACUUGAUCUGACUCGUCUUUGAAGUCACUAGGAAGACCCAGCUUGAUUUCAAAGGAAGCUGGAGCAGGCUCUUGGUCAAGGCCUACAGUGUCACCUUUCUGCAGAGUGCUGCAAGCAACAGCAGUAACUAAGCAAGCCUUGAAAAACACGGAGUAUGUGAAGUAUCCACUGCAAGCUACCUGCUUGCUUACUGGAAGUGUUGGACAACUGGCCUGCUUCUGGGGGUGUUUAAGAAGAAUCCUUCUCUAUCCCACCACAAACUCAGAAUCUCCGUGCACAAGGAGAUCAAUACAUGCAGAUGGGAAUUUUCACCAUGGAUUCAGCACUGUAUCCCCCAGAUGUCACAUGAGAAUCAUGUUGCUCCGUGCAAUUACGGUAAGUGCUUUA
rnacentral:lncRNA from 1 species